UGCGAUAGAAAUGGCUCUGAGAGGACAGA
rnacentral:piRNA from 1 species